rnacentral:rRNA from 1 species
UACGGGGGGAGCAAGCGUUGUUCGGAAUUACGGGGCGUAAAGCGCGCGCAGGCGGUCUUCCAAGUCAGUGGUGAAAGCCCGGAGCUCAACUCCGGAACUGCCAUUGAAACUGUUAGACUUGAGGAUGAGAGAGGUGAGUGGAAUUCCCAGUGUAGAGGUGAAAUUCGUAGAUAUUGGGAAGAACACCGGUGGCGAAGGCGGCUCACUGGCUCAUUACUGACGCUCAGGCGCGAUAGCGUGGGGAUCAAACAGG